GUUGGCCGCGUCUUCUAGUCCUGACCCCUUCUCUGCUCAUCGUUCUCGUGUGCCUAGGCAUGUCCAACAGCUCCCUCAUGCUCGUGCGGUCACCUCCCUGCCCCUGCCCCAUCCUAUCAUGAUGUCGUUAGGUCGCCGUCGAGCGCGCUCGUGAUCUGCUACCCCUGUCGUCACCAUGUACGCUUGCCUGUGCUCUCCCGAGUCUUCUCGAGCUCGCUCGAGUUCUCCUACUCCCCCGUGAAGCCUCUGGACAUGCCUCCCCUCCCUCCCCGUGGCUCUGCUCGCGCCAGCGCGACGGCACACGCAUCACCACGGCUGAGCUCACCCCUGGCUCAGCUGAGCUAUAAAUAGGUCACCCCGCACUUCUUCGAGCUCCCCAGCAGCGUCCUCAUCCUCCCAGAACCCCGCCCAACCACUCCACCGAGCUCGAGGAGCCCCUGUUCCCCUCCAUUGCCACCAUGGCCGCCAGCAUCCUCCUCCUAAAUCCGCUCAACGCAGAGCUUCUCCCUCCACUAAACCACCACCAGAGGCCUCCACAACCACCCCGGAGCCAGCCCUGCACCUCUCCUACUCCUCCAAUGGCCUCUGCUCGCGACUCCUCCGGUGCCCGACGCCUUCCUCCGCCACGGCCGAAGCCCUCCUUGCUCCAGGGCUCUCCGGUGGGCGAGUUCCCUCCAUGCGGGUGCGGCCCUCUCCGCUGAGCGCUCCGGUGGUCCGAGCUCCACCGGAGCCGGCCGGGUGAGCGCCGGCAACCGCAGCCUCCCUCUGCUCCAUGGGCGAUCGAGAUGAAGACGACGACACCCCGCCCAGCUGGCCAGGCGGGCCCCGCCUCCCCCCUCGGCCCCACUUGUCGGCCUUUGGUUGUUGACCAGUAUGGGCCCAGGUGCAUAAGUGGAAGCGUACUCUGUCAGAUCCGUCUCCCCCUCUCAAAAGCGCACUUCGGUGUUAUUUAGGCAGGAAUGUAUUUUCCACCCCGGAAAGCGUAUUUCCUUUGUACUACGGCUGAAAGUGUGUUUUCCUUUGCACAAAGCGUGUUUUGACUGAAUAUGUUUUCAGUUUUUCCAGACAGGGACCUGUUGGUGAAGUUUCUUUUACAGAUUGGUCCCUAGACUUCAAACGUCUAUAUCUCCACGACCGUAGCUCCGAAUCAGCCCCUCCGAGAGAGAACUGUUUCCGGCAAAUCUUUCCGCGAUCCUUGCGCACUUCUUCCCGUGGCUCAACUCAGCGACAUCCAUGACCGACACAAGAGGAGGGGGCUUGAAGUCCGGUGUUUGCUCCGUAGUGAAGCAUCAGUGACUAGAUUAUGCAUACACCGUGCAACCUACGGGCUCUUUUGCUAUCACUAUAUAAAGGGUCUCCAUGCUCCGUUUGCAGGUCAUGCCGUGUUUGCUUGACUGUCGAGGAUCCCGAGUUUGUGAGCUAGGAUAAGCGUUCCAGCCAGAGCCCCUGCGGAGUGAUAUCCAUCGCUUUCGUCGUCAUUCCGCUGCUAGAAGUUAUUCCGCUGCUAAGAGUUGUUCUACUGCUAGCAUAGAGCAACCUGAGCAGGCAUAGUGUCGCCAUGCGGACGUAAUUUGUUGUGAUAUCGGAACCCUUGUAUCUGUAUCAUUUGUAAUGAAAAGUUGAUUUGUUCCAUGCCAAGCAGUGCCGUA